rnacentral:ncRNA from 1 species
UAAAAUAGGGGAGUUUGAUUAUAGCUCAAAGCUUAUAUUGCAAGAUGCAUUCCAUGGUAUUGUAAAAUAAUUGGGGAAAGUACACCUCGACACCAGCAGUUAAACUUGGUAAAUUAAAGAAAUUUUAACCCAGCUUUUUGUAUUUAUUGGGGCUAAUUGAUGAAUGCCAGCAGCCGCGGUUAUAUUCAGAUCAUUCAUAAGCUUUAGCAGAUUGGCUAGAUGCUGUGAAAACCAGGAGACUAUAAAAAAAGAUAAACAGUGUAAUGUAAGUCUUUUGCUGUUAAAAUCUUGUUGUCUGUGUAAGUUUCUAGUGAACUUAUGAAGAGAAACUAGGAUUAGAUACCCUAUUAUCCAUAACUUAAAAAAUGGUUUCUUCUUAACUAAGCAUUGGGUUGUCAAAGAGAAAUAAAUAGGCGGUGUCUGAGCUAAAAAACAGAGGAUCCUGGGCAUUAAGGGACAAUCCACCUUCAGUUCUACCUUAUUUUAUUAAAGCGCGUGUAUGGUUGUCUACUCUAAUGUUAAAACGUCCGGGUUGAUGCACUUAGUUUAUUUUAGAUAAGCUAAGAAAUAAUUCAGAUUUACAUGCGGCUAUAUUAAGGGAGUUCUGGGAUACAAUUGCAACUGAAGCAAUUAAGCUUUUUCGGAAGAAUUUAACGAAAAAAUAAAGAGAAAUCUUAUUUUGAAGAAGGAUUUGUAAGUAAACACUUCAAAUUAUGUUGUGUUGAAUACAAUCAGAUGAGUACUAACUGCCCGUCGCUCGCGGAGAAAUCUGUGAAAAGCCGUAACAAGGUAGCGGUAACGGAAGUUGUCGCUAAUUUAAU